AGGCCAUGCUUGUACAUCCUGACAAAAACAUGGGAAGUCUUUUAGCAAUUGAGUCAUUUAAGAAACUUCAAUGUGCUUAUGAGGUCCUUUCUGAUUCCAUGAAGAUGAGGGACUAUGAUGAGCAAUUGAGAUAAGAAGAAUCCAAGACUAGAAGUGUCUGUCAAAAGUCCCAUAGCUCUACACGGCAGCAAUCUACUUCAGAUCAUCGCUCUGAAGAAUCGAUCUGUAUACAGUGCACCAAGUGCGGUAAUUCACAUAUAUGGGUGUGCACGAACAGGACCAAGGCCAAGGCUAGGUGGUGUCAGG